UCUUUUCCCUCCCUUCCCUGACUCCCUCAUCUCUCCAAUCUUCUAUUUAUUUUUUGCAAUUCAAUCGACACAGUCUGUAGCAUGUGUAGUCUGCACCGGAACAAUUUUCUUGAGUCAACACCAAUUUCGUCAACUCCGACGGCAUGGCAUAACACAGUGCCGGGGCUGUAUUAUAUGAUGUCAACUGACAUCACAAAAUAAUAAUUAGUACCAUGAUACUAGCCAUUAACACACUACUUUUGACCCCAUAAGAACUACAUAAUGACCUCAAUAGCUCAUUUUGGGGCUCUUUGACAUCACCUGCUGGCAAUCCUAGCCGCGCCACUGGCAUAACAGACAUCUUAUGUUUCCAACUGUUCAUACACAUUGUCCUGAUAGUUUGAUUCAGUCACACUGCUAUGCAAAUUGUACGUUUUCACUCGCUCUUUGAGUUCCACCCAUGAUGCUACGAUUAUAUUCUUGAAAUUUGUCAAUCUCUUAUCGCAUAUUUUUGUUUGAUGAUCUAACUAGCAUAUUUGUAUGAAGAAUUGGGGAUCUCUCAAUUGGAGUUUCUCAAUGAGAAAGGAGCACAGGAUGGCAUGUGGAGAGUACUCCUGGACACACUUGCAUAAGAGACUGGGCAGGUUUGUAUGCAAUGUCAUUUAGCGAUAAAUGCAACUUUUGCUUUUUUCGAUCCAUCUGCAGUUGCAUGAUCCUAGAAUCAGCGAAUGACUUACCUUUAGCAAUUGUUUUCUUCCUUCCUACAGGAAGACAACGAAUGGUUGUCCACCUGGAUAUGUUGAUUGUUAUUGUUUUAUUCUAGAAUGAUAUAUUGUGGUUUGGAAGUGCAUCCAUUUCAAAAGUUAAGAUGCACACAACACUUCUCAGAUACAGGAAUCUGGUGUUGAAUUAAGAGACUGGUUUAGAAAUACUAGAAGAAUUCUAGACUGAUCUCUUAGCUUAUACUUUUCACUAAAGUAGUGUCAGAAAGUGUGCCUAUCUUACUUCCCUGUCAUUUUCCCUCUUGAUCAUGCUAUUCUUGAGAAUAUAAAUUAUGAUCAACUGGCCGGGAUUUUCUUCCUAGCCCCAUUGAGAUGCAUGUUCAUUGAUGUUCUAUUUAAUUGUGCAUGGGAUGUUCCGAGCGCAUCAAUGUUAUGGAAUUCUGGACUCCAAGAGCUGCUUGGAUGGAAGAGCGUUCCCAUUUCAGAUUUAUGAAAAUUUAGGAUUGCAGCGGGGCCAAAUAGCCCUAAGUUUACAUACUAUGGUGUUCUUGAUAAAAUGGACAACGUAGCUUAUGUCUCUCUCCUGGAUCAUGGAUUUUUUCAAGCAAGGCUAGCUUAUGUCUCUCUCCUGGAUCAUGUAAUCACUACAUGCAGUGGUAAAGUUUCUAGAAAGUGUGUUUGAAUAUCUUUUUGGCUACUACAACAGUCAGAUGUAUAUUGGUGUUGUUCAUGAAUAGUAGGCCCUUCCUUCAUUUUUUUUUAUCAUAAAAGAGAAAGUAGCUUUAUCUAAACGUUUCCCUCUAGCAGCUCAAGAAGUUUUAUUGCAGGUAUCAAAAGAGGUUGAUGCAUUUUAAAUAGAUUGGCACUAGAACAUUAUUUGGUAAUAGAUUGAUCCUAGAGGAGAUGUAGUACGAUAAAAAGAUGAUCUCAGGAAUAUGGCUUCUCUCCAUCACAAGUUAAAUGCUGAUCAACGUGCGUAAUUUUGAGGAACCACUAAAAUUGGUAACUCUUUCACUGCAACACUUGCAAUUAUGUUUCUCUUUAAGAGGUCUAGAGUGGUUGUAAUUAUACUAAAAUUGGUAACCCGAGCAUACGUAUCAGCUACGGAAAGGUUAGUGUGCUAAAAAAAUACAGAGCUAGAGGCCUAGAUUAUAGUGGAGGAUUACAUUGGACUCAUUUCUAAAGGAUAACUUGCAAAUGACGCUGUUGAAUGAUGAAGCACUUUCAAUCAAGAUAACCCUUCAUGUCCUUAUAUGAAAUGUUGUCUUUCUUCUGAAUAGUGGAUUCACUGUGGAGAGCUUGAGCUCAUUCAGUAGACAACUGCGUAUAGGUCCGUUGGGUGUGUGGUUUCUCAGAUUGUUAACCUUAAGAUGUAUGGCUUGCCCUGCAACCUAAAUACGGUGGUAAAAACACAUACUACGGCAACAACCAACAGUUCAUCAAACGUAUGCAAUACGGUUACUGCUUACAGGUGCACGUCAUGGUGUGCUACUGCUGAAGCUAUACCAAAGAGGCUACAACUUAUGGUCCUGCCACCGCACCUAGCUGACUUAACACAGAUAGACCAACUGACAAUUUUAAGUGUCGUGUACUCCAUAUCUGUUCCUAUAUGUUGAUGCAUCAUGGGUGAAUCUCUUCCUGUUUAGGAGCUAUUAUGGUUUGAGGUUGUAUUCACUCGCAUAACUAACAAAAGGUAGCCCCUGUUGAUGGUUUCUCGGUUCAAAAGCUAUGUGCAGAAGGUCAAGAGCUGAAGUCGCUUCAUGCACCCAGUUUAACUAGAAGGGCCAUACGGCCACUGCUGAGUUUCCUAUAUGUUUUUAGGCACUAGCAAAGGCAUGGCGCUGCUUAAUUUUCUGUACCUUUCCAGGUGAUGACCUGAUAACUACCUCUUCCAACUAUUUAUUCCGCAUUAUGUGUUAUCAUGCGUAUCUAUACUACAUAAAUAUAUAAUUUUUUAUCUUUUCAGUUCAUGUUUUUAUGCUGAUUAUGAUUGUUGUUGAGACUUUAGUGCAUGUAGAGCAGCACACUGAUACUAGGGUUCAGCUCAAUAAACCCGCA